GGGGGCGACAGGUUUCGACAGCAGGAUGGAAGGUUUGAGAGAGCGAGCCGAGGAUGGGGAAUCCUCGUAAAUCCGGCCCUACAACAAUAAUUGCCAACGAAGAUUUCGCACUGGCUGCUUAAUUAAGCAGUCACGUCCCUGGGGGGCUCGGUCGUUGGAACCCCAACGGACGUCACACAGACGACUGGAAUCGCGGUAACGUCUUCUGAUCGCGGUUCGAGACUCUAGGGAAGAAUAGAUGACCGGAACCCCGUCGCUGGGGGUCCUUGAUUCGAAGUUAAAACGGCGACUACGCUCGUAGGGCUCUCAAAUGGUCCCCUGUUGGACCGGAGUUCGAUUCUCCGCGCCUCCACCA
rnacentral:tmRNA from 1 species